UGACAAGGGCAAACUGGCUGAAAGGUCAGGACGCAAAGCCUCCGGUCUAACGACUCUCGUAGUCCAGGAUAGCGGGGUUAC
rnacentral:ncRNA from 1 species